rnacentral:rRNA from 1 species
UUCGUAGGCGGUGCGGCAAGUCGGAAGUGAAAUCCCUGGGCUCAACUCAGGGGCUGCUCCCGAAACUGCCGUGCUUGAGUGCGGGAGAGGCGAGUGGAAUUACAGGUGUAGCGGUGAAAUGCGUAGAUAUCUGUAGGAACACCCGUGGCGAAGGCGGCUCGCUGGACCGCAACUGACGCUGAGGAACGAAAGCUAGGGGAGCAAACAGGAUUAGAUACCCUGGUAGUCCUAGCCCUAAACAAUCAGGACUUGGGGUGCAUCCCGUUGGGGGUGCGUCCCGUAGCUAACGCGUUAAGUCCUGCGCCUGGGGAGUACGGUCGCAAGGCUGAA